CCCCAACUCGCUCCUCGCUCAUCGCUCACCCAGCCAUGGACAAUGCUCCUCUGCCUUCCGAGGCCAUGUCCAUCGACGGAUCAGCCCUCGACUCUUUCCUCUCAUCCUCCGCCCACUUAACUCACCACGAAGUCAUCACCCGCCGAUCUCGCCGUGUCAAACAACUUGCCAAGAUCUACCGAACCCACUACUGGGCCCUAAUGGAAGACCUCAAAGCCAAGUACAAAGAGUACUACUGGAAGUACGGGAAGAGCCCGUUCAAGGGAGAUGAAAAGAAGAGAAAGACAGACGGUAUUAAAGAGAAUUCUGCAAAUGGAAUUCCAGAAUUGAACGGGAAAUUAGGGUUUAAAGAGGACGAGGACCUGGAGGAAGAGGAGGGGAUUAGGAAGUGUGCGGUGGGUGGAUGCAAGGCGACGCCGAUGGCGUUGACCAGGUUUUGUCACCCGCAUAUACUCUUGGAUUCCAAACAGAAACUGUAUAUAGGCUGCACUGCACCUUUGUUGUUAAAAGUGCCCAGGGAAGACCUGUCCAUUGUGGGAAACCAAUACUGAGAUCGGCUGUCCCUGCACUCUGUCCACCUCAUUUUCAAAAGGCUGAAACAUAUGUGGCACGGGCCUUGAGAAAGGCAGGUCUUAAUGUCUCUUCACCGAGUAAGAUUGCUC
rnacentral:misc_RNA from 1 species